UACGAAGGGGGCUAGCGUUGUUCGGAUUUACUGGGCGUAAAGCGCACGUAGGCGGAUCGAUCAGUCAGGGGUGAAAUCCCAGAGCUCAACUCUGGAACUGCCUUUGAUACUGUCGAUCUGGAGUAUGGAAGAGGUGAGUGGAAUUCCGAGUGUAGAGGUGAAAUUCGUAGAUAUUCGGAGGAACACCAGUGGCGAAGGCGGCUCACUGGUCCAUUACUGACGCUGAGGUGCGAAAGCAUGGGGAGCGGACAGG
rnacentral:rRNA from 1 species